AGCAAACGAGCCUGGGCUGGCCUUGUGGAAGCCUAGCCGAGGCCUCAGAAUAUGGAUGAGAUCAUCUGAGACUGUCCACCCCAGGAAGCCAGCAAAGUGGCUAGAACCCGCCAUACCACCGCAGAAUCACGAUUGCUGUUCUGAGUCACUACAUUUCAGGUGACUUGUUGAGCAGCAAACGAGCUGACGAACCUAAAGUCAGAAGAUGCUAGCGGAAGAAACAGGACCCAGAACUCCAUUGGAAAAUGGGGUGUACAGACUUCGAGGAUGCCAGACAAAAAGAUCAUUUGAAAUAUUGUUGUCACUAAGCCUUCUUUGAUCAAGACACUGUGAGCUCAUGGCAGGAUUGAGCUUUCAGCUGCUCUGUAGAUUCUCAUCAGAGGUGCAGACUCUUCUUUGUGGAUCAUACCUACAUUUUAUUUUUCCUGAAAAUAUAUAUAUUCAGGGCGCACAGGCAUCUUCUAUUCACUUCAUCAUCAACACUUGUCAAACAAAAACUGCUACUCAUGCUACAGACUCAUGCAGCUCCCCGCAUUUUGAAAGAAUUGCCUCCCUCUUCUGAGCCUGGCUCAAGUUCAUGACCAGUUAAACGAAAGUUGAAGCUAAAUAUAAAGAGAAUAAAAGUGAAAUUAUCAUUUUAAAAAGUGAAAAAAAGUAUGGAGAGUAUUUUUGGAACCACGGAAGAUGAUCAGAAUUUGUAUAGUUUGGAAGUGAUUCUGACCCUGGGCUAGGUCCAGUUCUCCCUGACAGUGAGCAACUCAGCUGUUUCUCUGCCCUGUGUCUCCUUUGUUAAGUGACUCUACCAGCAUUUUCAGGCCCUGCAAUGUGUUAAGAGUGAGUCUGCUUACUGAAUAUCUUCAGCAAGGGAGUAGCAUGAUUGAUACUGCAUUUGAGGAUGAUUACUCCAGUGGAGACAAUGACAUCAUUUAGGAGGUUGAUCUAC